rnacentral:rRNA from 1 species
UAGCCGCAGAUAUCUGUGCUAAGGUAGCAUAAUCAUUUGUCUUCCAAUUAAAGACUAGAAUGAAUGGUCCAACGAUUAAACAAUUUAAUAAAUAAAAACCCAUAAAAUUAAAUUUAAUGUAAAAAUACAUUAAUUCAAAAAAAAGACGACAAGACCCUGUCGAACUUAACUAAAGUUCAACUGGGACAGUAUUUUUAUAACCAUUAUAAACAACCAUUUACUAAAUUACCCUUCCAAGAAAAGAAUAAGUUACCGCAGGGAUAACAGCGCAAUAUAUCUCCAAAGCUCUUAUAUAAAGAUAAGAUUACGACCUCGAUGUUGAAUUAAUUAAUCAAAUAAAAGCAAAACUUUAUAAGAAAGUCUGUUCGACCUUUAAAUAAUUACAUGAUCUG